GGACUACAGGGGUUUCUAAUCCCGUUCGCUACCCUGGCUUUCGCGCCUCAGCGUCAGAAGAGAUCCAGCACGUCGCUUUCGCCACCGGCGUUCCUUCGGAUAUCAACGCAUUUCACCGCUCCACCCGAAGUUCCACAUGCCCCUACCUCCCUCAAGACCCGCCGUUUCCAAGGCACUUCCCCAGUUGAGCUGGGGGCUUUCACCCCGGACUUGCGGACCCGCCUACGCGCCCUUUAAGCCCAGUGAUUCCGAACAACGUUCGCACGGUUCGUCUUACCGCGGCUGCUGGCAC
rnacentral:rRNA from 1 species